AACGCACGAGACCUGCGGACCUGCGGAAGGAUCAUUACCGAGUUAUCCAACUCCCAACCCCUGUGAAUUAUACCUUUAAUUGUUGCUUCGGCGGGACUUCGCGCCCGCCGGGGACCCAAACCUUCUGAGUUUUUUAAUAAGUAUCUUCUGAGUGGUUAAAAAAAUGAAUCAAAACUUUUAACAAUGGAUCUCU
rnacentral:misc_RNA from 1 species